UUCCGAGGCGGGGACCAGGCCGGAAGCAAGUUUUUCAGGCAAGAGCCUUUCCUCCAGCCUCCCUCCUCUUCGGACCAGGGUACUCGGCCACACACCCCAACUCUGCCUGACGGCCCUGCCCCCCCAUUUCCGGAGCCCGCGGCCCGCGACCCCGGCCGGGGCUGGCCGCAGGGCGAAGGCCCGGAUUCCCGUCCUCCCCGGCCCUCCCUUACCUCCGCGGGGGCGCUCCGGCCGCCCGCCCCGAGCCACGGGCCGCGGGGGAGGAGGGCACCCACCUGGGCAGUGUCACAUGCUGUCUCGGCCCGAGAGUCCCCUCCGGGUCCCCGGCGCCGGCCGGCCGUCCCCAGCGCAGGCCCGGCCGCCCCAGCCGCCCCACCCGCGGCCCGCCCCUCCCCGCCCGGCCGGGAGGGAGGGAUCCGACUCUCCUCGGAAGUUUCAGCUGUGCCACAUUCUGAAUGGAGGUAGUAGCAUAGUUGAUCUAGCCAGUCUCCUAUGGAGGUAGCCCCAUCAGGUUGGCAGAACAAGCAAUGCUGCCGUGAGUGACCUCGGCAUCUGUCGCUUUGCACAUGUGCCAGUCCACCUGUAGGAUAUAUUCCUGGAAGCUGACUUGCUGGAUCCGAUGAGACUUCAAUGGCAGCUGAAAAAUUUGGUGUGGCCACAGUUUUCAGAAGAAGUAACGAUUACAAUAGGUGAAAUUGCAGUGGGAGUCCCAGCCUCGCUCCCUCCCCAGGCUCUCUGGGUAUUUAGGACUCUCGUAACCAGACAGAUCCCCAAGCACCGGGGAUUCACAGUCGAGCCGGUAUAAGUACAUCUGCAUAUGAAGUUUAUCUAUGAUUGUGAAACCCAAGAUUGUCUUGAUAGAGAAAUUCUGAGUAUCUAAAGACAGUAGAGAGAGGUGAUCGUAAGCCCAGGCUGCUGCUAAAAUUAUACGGAAUAGGCGUCGGCUUCGCAAAAGGGCAAAUAGCCCCGUGAGGCCGUCACUCUCUCAGCAGAGCCGCCGCAGCGCACAGAAAGAAACCCGCUGCACACACACUAACCACCCGUUCUGCUGGACCUCACGGAGAAGGAUCCAACCGCCCAGGCAUGGAGUGCUGCAUGUCUUCUGCAUGCCAGGAGAUUCGAUCCCUUAGAACUCUCACUUGUGACCAACUUCAGUCAUUACUUCCUCCUGCUCCUCCAGUUCGGUGCAUAUACCACGGGGAUAUCAUUUUGGACAGCUAGAAAUUCAGCCUUUCCAUUCCCCCUGCCCUCUUAAAGUAUCAGCUGUCCAGUUUCCCAUCACAGCCUACUUUCUGGGUAGAAAAGAUCAUAAAACUGUCUAAUUUGGGUGCCCCCAAUUUAACCCUUUUGCCCAGUUAUAUCUUUGUUCAGACACUGUCCUUUGGCUCUUCUCUGGUAACUUCCUUCGAACUGAACUGUCCUUGAUCUGUUUUACAAGGGGUUGGGUAAAAAAGUACAGAGAGAAAGUAGGGAAGGGGAGAAUAAAGGUAAGAGAAGAUAACUGAUGCAUCUCUCUACUCUAGGACUAAGAGCAAUGUUUAGAACUUCUCAGUUUAAAAGGUACUGAGAAGUAUAUUACCUUUUCUGAAGCUCACAAUGUC